GACGAACGCUGGCGGCGUGCCUAAUACAUGCAAGUCGAGCGAUGAAGGAGAUACUUGUAUCUUUUGAAGAGCGGCGAACGGGUGAGUAACGCGUGGGGAAUCUGCCAAUGAGUGGGGGACAACAUUUGGAAACGAAAGCUAAUACCGCAUAAAAUCUAUUGAGACAUCUCAAGAGAUUGAAAGGAACAAUUGUUUCGCUCGUUGAUGAUCCCGCGUUGUAUUAGCUAGUUGGUGAGGUAAGGGCUCACCAAGGCGAUGAUACAUAGCCGACCUGGGAGGGUGAGCGGCCACAUUGGGACUGAGACACGGCCCAAACUCCUACGGGAGGCAGCAGUAGGGAAUCUUCGGCAAUGGACGAAAGUCUGACCGAGCAACGCCGCGUGAGUGAAGAAGGUUUUCGGAUCAUAAAGCUCUGUUGUUGUUAAAGAACGUUGAUGAGAGUGGAAAGUUCAUCAAGUGACGGUAAACAACCAGAAAGGGACGGCUAACUACGUGCCAGCCGCCGCGGUAA
rnacentral:rRNA from 1 species